UGAAAACAGUCAAAAUAAAUAGUAUUUUUGAUGAUAUUGUUUUCUGUUGUAGCUGUGCAGCUAAAAAAAAAGGAGCUAUAAAGACAAACAGAGACAGGGAUUUAUUAAAUACAAAGAAUACAAACACCUUUGACAAACAUAUAAAUAAAAGCUGUUUGCAUGGUAUCCAGUGACAGCAGGACAUGCUGGAAGUGGCUGCGUCUCAUGUGGGGAACGUCUGGGCGUUUGGUGGCAGCUCGGGAACCAGCCGAUCAUGUGUGUAUAUGUCCUCUGUUCUGAGAAGAGAAAAGACAUGCAAACGUGUUCCUGAACCCACACGCAUGAUUGUGUUUCUGUGAAUCACAGUGACGCUGCGUUAGACAAAGGCGACCUCCUCCACCACCUCCAAUGCAACCACCAGGUUCCUCCUCACUGCGGGAGACAAACACAAGAACAUAAACCAACAGGAACAUCCUGUAUCUUCUCACCAGGUCCAAACUCAGGUUUGAGGGACGUCUGGUGGACGAUGAUGUUUUUAAAAAUAUUAUCAGAUUGUGCACGUGGCUCCUCACCUCCGUAGACGUAUGGACAUCCAGGCCAGCAGGGAGCUGGACCUCCCGCCCCCUUCUGCCCGCAGACACAGACGCAGCCCCGGGUCUCCAUCCGUGGACCCUCCCAGCAACGACCACCGCCAUCCCUCACAGUCCGGGGCCGGGGAGCCCCAGGACCCCCCGCCGCCGGUCCGUAGCCGCCGGGGAUCCCAGAGAGGGUUGGAGGUCGGGGCGUUGACCACUGAGCCUCGACAGCUUGACCCACGUCACCAUGGCAACCUGAGGGAGGCAGGGGAGGAGCUAGCUGCCAGAUAAAACCAACACGAAUUCUAUCAAGAUCAUUUUUACCAAUUGAGGAUUUUUGCUGAUUUUUACCAAUUAAAUUUAAAACAGAAAAGAUUGAUUUUGGAGAGACUGUUUAGAGUUCUUUAAGCAUCUUCAUCAGCAGCUGAUGUGAGGAAUAUUUUAUUUUACAUGAGGUGAAACUGUGAGGAUUAAGCAGUAAAGCUGUAAAUUGGAAUGAAAUUGAAAAACCAAAACCAAAGGAAAUGAGAAAUGAUUAAUUCAAUCAAACAACUUAUGGAGAACAAGCAUGCUGUGAUGAUGUUGGGGAUGGCGUUGCCUUUUUGAGGGAUCUUGUCACAAAUGUAAAAUUGUCCAGUCUAUAGUUAUUGUUUGCUUCAUUUAAUAAACGUAUCU
ensembl:lncRNA